rnacentral:lncRNA from 1 species
UUUUUAUUCAUUAAAAAAAAGGUCUUUCAAGUAUCACCCUUUUAUAGAGAAUUUACAAACAAAUAACAAAAGAGUUCAUGUUGACUACUACUGCAAGAAAACUUAAUUACUUAAUUAACUAGUACUAAUUAAACUAAUGGAGUCGGCCGGCCCAAUACUUCACUGAAUAUAUUGUAGCGUGUCGAAGGGAUCUGCUUCCCCUUGUUGAAUUGCUCGAUAGCCAACUGUCAACCGAGCUUAAUUUCUUCUUCUGCAUCCACCGUCGUCUUCAGGUGUGCCUUCACUUAUUCUAUAAUCAUAUUUUGAUCUCUAUCAUCUCUCACUUUCUCCGAAUGACCUUGUCCUUAAGGUUGAGUGAACGGUAUAACUCCAUUAAUAUCUUUAUCUUCUCUUCCCAGGACUACGUAUCAUCAACUUGCAACUAUGUUCAGUGCAUCAAAAUUUGUUCAACCUGCUUCCCACGAAUCAGCAACACUCUCUCGUCCAUGAUAUCGGUCGGGUAAACCACAGGUUUGUUUCCAAUUGUUUUUUUUAAUAUAUCAGAAUUUAAAAAUAGAUGGAUCGAUCAUAGAUACUGGGACUUCCCAGCACAUGAUCGAUUGGGAACCUUCGAUAUUUUGAUCAAAAACCUAGCAAUAAGCAUGAACAUUUUGUGACCAAUUAAUCUAAGUGGAAAAAUAUGCAAAGUUAAUUCUACUAGAAAUAUAACAAUAUCAAAAGACAUUAGAUUAAAAGACGUGCUUUAUAUAUAUACUCACAUUUAAGGUUAAUCUAAUUUCAUUAAGCAAAUUAGUCUUAUAGAAGUGUCGCUCUCAUUAUAAAAUUUUGUUUUUUAAAUGUAUCGUAUGAUAAAAUUUUCAAUUCAUUAAUCAAAGGGGAUAGAUAAAUGUCAACUUCUUUCUUUGAAAUGUGAGGAACGGGAAUCAAAAUAGACAAGAACAUGAAUGGUUGUGUUACAUAUCCAUGGUGGAAGGUUGUAUGGGGUAACGAUAACUGGCCAACAUGAAUACGACACACUUGAAUGACCAAAUGGAUUAAAUCCAUCAGUAGACAAACCAAGUCAC